AUUGAACGCUGGCGGCAUGCCUUACACAUGCAAGUCGAACGGUAACAGGCCGCAAGGUGCUGACGAGUGGCGAACGGGUGAGUAAUGCAUCGGAACGUGCCCAGUCGUGGGGGAUAACUGCUCGAAAGAGCAGCUAAUACCGCAUACGACCUGAGGGUGAAAGCGGGGGACCGUAAGGCCUCGCGCGAUUGGAGCGGCCGAUGUCAGAUUAGGUAGUUGGUGGGGGAAAGGCCGAACAAGCCGACGAUCUGUAGUUGGUCUGAGAGGACGACCAGCCUCACUGGGACUGAGACACGGCCCAGACUCCUACGGGAGGCAGCAGUGGGGAAUUUUGGACAAUGGGCGCAAGCCUGAUCCAGCAAUGCCGCGUGCAGGAAGAAGGCCUUCGGGUUGUAAACUGCUUUUGUACGGAACGAAACGGUCUGGGUUAAUACCCUGGGCUAAUGACGGUACCGUAAGAAUAAGCACCGGCUAACUACGUGCCAGCCGCCGCGGUAACAC
rnacentral:rRNA from 1 species